GCGGGAUUGGUGAAGUGGCAUCAUCUUUCUCUCCAAAAGAAAAGUCGUGGGUUCGAUUCCUACAUCCCGUG
rnacentral:tRNA from 1 species